AACUUUUAGCAACGGAUCUCUUGGCUCUCGCAUCGAUGAAGAACGCAGCGAAAUGCGAUACGUAAUGUGAAUUGCAUAAUUCAGUGAAUCAUCGAAUCUUUGAACGCACCUUGCGCCCUUUGGUAUUCCGAGGGGCACACCCGUUUGAGUGUCGUGACAUUCUCAAAACCUUCUCGGUUUCUCGACCGGGAAGGCUUUGGACUUUGGAGGCUUUUGCUGGCAUUCCUUUGUUGGAGCCAGCUCCUCUGAAAUGAAUUAGUGGGGUCUGCUUUGCCGAUCCUUGACGUGAUAAGAUGUUUUCUACGUCUUGGGUUUUAGCACUCCUGCUUCUAACCGUCUCACAGUAGACAAAUGGUCCACUCGACCCACAAACCUUGACCUCAAAUCGGGUGAGACUACCCGCUGAACUUAAGCAUAUCAAUAAGCGGAGGCU
rnacentral:misc_RNA from 1 species